ACCCACAAUAUGAGAAGAAAUUCAUAUUAUUAGGAUGAUGUUUCCAUCAUGGAUACCCUCAUCUUAAAUAAAAGUCCAAAAGGAAAAGAUACCUAUCAAAUUUUAUAGUUGAUUGAUUCCCUAGCACUUCUAAAGUUAGUGCAAAUUUAACAGCGAGUAAAGGAUAGAACAAAUAAGGCAUCAUAUAUAUAUUGUAGAGCUAACAAACUAAAGGAGAACAGAUGGCAAUAAUGAGUUGUUUCGAGCUUCCAGUGCAGCAGCCAAAUAGAGAUAUGUCAGUGCAAGAAUUCAAGGUGUGGAUUAAGCAAUUCGACAUGGAUCGUGACAAACGUAUUAGCCGCGAAGAACUAACAGAGGCACUUCAGAAUCUACACAUAUGGUUCAGCUCAUGGAAGGCUCGUCAAGUUAUGAAAACUGCUGAUACUGACCAAGUUGCACCAUCUUUAAGUUGAACAACCGACGUCUUCUCGUUAAUGAUGUUGAACGCUACAUUUUGUGUCAUCACACCAAGAGCUUGGCGAUCUAAUAGAUCUCAAUGCGCUUUGGACAUAUUCUUUAGUUUUACCCCCGUCAGAGGUAAGUGUAAUUUUUUUAUGGUACAAAUAAUCUUUUAUCUGCAUUUUUCAUAAUCCAAAAUCUUUGCCAAUGAACUUGUCAAUUUUAACAUUCCCUUAUUCCGAUGUUAUUUCUUCACAAAAAAUAUUUCUUUUUAUGUGAAUAGUGUCUUUGAAUAGUAAUUGAUGGUAGGCUAGAAAUACGAGUUUUUGGCUACUCUGCACCGAUUAUUUGCUACACUUUAAUUGUAUUGGAGCUAAAAUAUGGACAACUUCUACUCAGUACGUAUUUUUUAUUGUGUAAGUUGAGAUUCCGGGCUAAGACGAGUUUUUGGAGAUAAAUUGAAUCAAAAGAGAAUUUUAAAGUAUGAAUAAAAAUUUAAAAAUUAAGUCGGAAUCAAAUUCGGAGAUCGAAGACGAGGACCGAGUACGUAUUUGCAUAGUGAAAGAAAUAAAAAGAGAAAGCAAUAGUGGAGGAACUAAUGACAUGAAAACUUAGCAAGACACUUUGUGUCUGCCAACGUGCCAAAUAUUAUGGCAAUUCAAACAAAUAUAACUAGCCACAAUUGAGUAUUCUCCAAAGUCAUGACUAUGACGUCAUGUCCAAGAAGGGAGCUAUAUACUUUUUUUGUCCAUUGGCACUUCGUGCGGCGCGACGUGCCCGACGGCGUGUCAAUGCAAUAUUUAGGUCUGUGCAAUCCUAUUUCGACCCAUUAAAGCUUCGGUUUAAGACUAUUCCUAUAAUGUAUAAAUACACGGUAAACAUAUUUUUGAGGGUGAAUUCAACCUAGGAUAAUUUAGAGAGCUACCACGACCGGAAGACACAACAAAAUUUCAUUAAUUCUUUUACUAACAAUCGGUGUAAUACGGGAGUUUGUAUCGUAAAGUUAUUUUUGAUGUUUUCUAUGUUCUUAAACUUAUUUGUGAUAACUUUCUCCAUAUCCAUGGAGUAGUUCUUCCCUAGGAUUUUGAUAUGGUGUUUUGAGUGUUAUUUGUAGAUUUAACUCUAGUUUAAUUAUUUGAAUAUAUUUAUGAAGCUUUGAAUUAAUUGCGAAAUCAUUCACCGUUUUAUUUAAUCGGAAAACAAAAGAAUAUUUUGGUGAUUAUCUUUGUAUUAUUUGGUUUGGUUUAAUUUAGUGAUUCUUCUAAGUAAUCGAGAGAGCUUUUUGAAUUAUUGAUUAAACCAAGUUCGGAGAAUAUUCGAGAGACGUUUUUCUAAAGACUAGUCCAUUAACGUGCUCUUGCAUAUCUUUACAGUGAUUCAUAUUAGUUUAUUUUGUAGAGUUCAGAUUUAAUCGAGAGAGGAAUCUUCACCUUAUGUUCAAGCUAAUUAUCAAGUGAAUUUGGGAGAAUCAUUAAAACAUUAGAAGUGAAUUUAAACAGAGUUAAAUCGUGAAUAACUAUCUUAUACCUAUCAUGGCAUGACCCUUAUUUCUCAUAUUGUUUACAAACCAUUUUAGUUCAGCUCUCGUUCUCUAUAUAUGAUCAGGUCUAAUUAUUAGUAGUCUUAAUUUAGUAGUUAAUUGUAGUAGUAAUCACUCCAACUCAAGUGUUGAUCAUCCUAAAUAGCAACUAAUCCAGAAAUUACUCGAACAUUAUUUAAAUCCAAUCCUUGUGGAGACGAUAAUUAAACUAUACUAUUUUUGACUAGCGAGUAUUAAUUUCGUGUUGUGUUUUGCACUCAUCAGUAACCGCAAAUAGUACUCUGUGUAAAAAAAAUAUCUCAAUCGUAUAAGGUAGACAACACUCACUAUUGAUGAAUAAUACUAUCACUAUUAAUGAAUAGUAUUUCACUAUUGUGAAUAGUAUCUACACUAAUAUCGUACUUUUCUACCAGAAUUACACUGUCUGUGCUCUGAUACCAACUGUUGGGAAGCAUGUCAGGCUAAUAGAAGGGUAAAAUAUUUAAAGGAGAAAAGUAAUAAAUUAUACAAAAUAAGACAAGACAAGAUUUAUGUGGUUCGGCAAUUUUUGCCUGCUCCACGACCACACAAAGAAUAACUCUUUAUUAAUUCAGAGAGAGAAGAAUGUGAACUGAGAAGGGGAUGCCUAUUCAUAGGCAGAGGAAUCAGCUGAAAUCUUCGUCAAAAUGUGAACAUGCCACCGCGAUUGUAAACCAAUUUAAUUCUUUUACAUUUUGUAGUCUUUUCAUUCAGACUUCCAUUCUUUCUUUGUUUUUUUCACACAUUUUUUUCUUCUCUUUUCAUUUAUUUCUUUCUUUGACUUUUCCAUUUUUUUUGUCAUCUUUUAUUUCUUGUUCCCAUCAUAAAUACUUCUAAUGUAAAGGCACUGGACACUCAGACUGCUAAGCUUAAUUCGUAGACAUAGAUUUAACUAAAUAACUGAGAUCAAGCAUGACUAGAUCAUCACAAGGAAAGGUGAUAACUAUUCUUAGCAUUGAUGGUGGAGGUGUAAGAGGGAUAAUUCCCGGUACAAUUCUUGCUUUUCUUGAAUCCCAAUUCCAGGUUAGUUAACAUAUAUAUAUAUA